UGAGGAAUAUUGCGCAAUGGAGGCAACUCUGACGCAGCCAUGCCGCGUGCAGGAAGAAGGCGCUACGCGUUGUAAACUGCUUUUAUCCGGGAAGAAACCCCAGGACGUGUCCUGGGUUGACGGUACCGGAGGAAUAAGCACCGGCUAACUUCGUGCCAGCAGCCGCGGUAAUACGAAGGGUGCAAGCGUUAUCCGGAUUCAUUGGGUUUAAAGGGUGCGUAGGCGGAGCGUUAAGUCAGUGGUGAAAUCCUGCAGCUCAACUGUAGACUUGCCAUUGAUACUGGCGCUCUUGAGUGCGCUUGAAGUGGGCGGAAUGUGCCGUGUAGCGGUGAAAUGCUUAGAUAUGGCACAGAACACCAAUUGCGAAGGCAGCUCACUAAGGCGAUACUGACGCUGAGGCACGAAAGCGUGGGGAUCGAACAGG
rnacentral:rRNA from 1 species